AUUGCAGCAAAAAUGGAAAUAGUGUUUUCGCUAAUAUUAACUAGUUAUAAUGACUAUGUUGAACAUAUGGAAAAGGAAAGGACGACUAGAAUCGAGGUAAAAAGAACGGUAUAACAACGACAACAAAUCGCAGUAGCUAAACUGACCUCUGGAUUCAGAAUAAAACCGAAAAUAGUAACAUAAAGAUCAACCUACCGACUCACUUAUGCAUACAGCCAUAACUGCAGAAUAGUAAUAAACUUUCGACU
rnacentral:misc_RNA from 1 species